rnacentral:rRNA from 1 species
CGGGUGAGUAACACGUGGAUAACCUACCUAUAAGACUGGGAUAACUUCGGGAAACCGGAGCUAAUACCGGAUAAUAUUUUGAACCGCAUGGUUCAAAAGUGAAAGACAGUCUUGCUGUCACUUAUAGAUGGAUCCGCGCUGCAUUAGCUAGUUGGUAAGGUAACGGCUUACCAAGGCAACGAUGCAUAGCCGACCUGAGAGGGUGAUCGGCCACACUGGAACUGAGACACGGUCCAG